GCUUCGCCUUGAAACUGUGCAUCUGGUGCAUGCGAUGGACGUUCCCGGAGGUUUGUGUAUUUUGUUCCGCAUUUGCUUCAUUGGAGAAGAGGUUCACUGUAGACUGUCCUUCAGCAGACACUGCUUCUGUCUCGGGGGGGCCUUCACACCACUCGAACACUGCAUUUGCUCAACAAUCUGCAGCGACUUGGCUUGCCAAUCUUCGCACCUGGCACACGCGAGUGACCGUCCCGCAAGGGCGUGUACAACAUCCAGGCCUUUGCUAGCCAUGGAAGACGGCGUUCCCCAGGAGGCGGCGUUUAAUCUGCCUGCUAGCGCCCACUUGCGUUCUUAUGAAAAUUCGCUCGACGAUCUCCAGUGUUUCGCUGAUGACGGGAAAGAACGAAGGUGUCAAUAAAGUCUGGACUACAUCCACAUGAAUGGCUAUGGUUGGCUAGA